UACAGAGGGUGCAAGCGUUAAUCGGAUUUACUGGGCGUAAAGGGCGCGUAGGCGGUCAGCACAAGUCAGUCGUGAAAUCUCCGGGCUUAACUCGGAAAGGUCAACUGAUACUGUGCGACUAGAGUGCGGAAGGGGCAACUGGAAUUCUCGGUGUAGCGGUGAAAUGCGUAGAUAUCGAGAGGAACACCUGCGGCGAAGGCGGGUUGCUGGGCCGACACUGACGCUGAUGCGCGAAAGCCAGGGGAGCGAACGGG
rnacentral:rRNA from 1 species